GAGAACCUCCAGAGGGAGAGCCCCCAGAGGGAGUUGGGCUAUAUGGGGGGCUAGAGUAAGAAGGAGAUGAUGGAGUGGUAGGAGAUGAACCAGACGGGGUAGGGCUGUAAGGGGGGCUAGAGUAAGUAGGCGACGACGGGGUAGGAGGAGACGGACCAGAUGGGGUCGGACUGUAUGGGGGACUGGAGUAAGUAGGAGACGAUGGAGUAGAAGGAGAUGGGUCGGAAGGAGUUGGGCUGUAUGGGGGACUCGAGUAAGAUGGAGACGAGGGAGUUGUAGGAGAUGAGCUGGAGGGAGUUGGACUGUAAGGAGGGCUGGAAUAGGUAGGAGAUGACGGAGAAGAACCAGAAGGAGUUGGGCUGUAAGGAGGGCUAGAAUAUGUAGGAGAUGACGGAGAAGGACCUGAAGGAGCAGUAGGAGAUGGACUAGAAGGAGCUGGGCUAUAUGGAGGACUGGAAUAAGUAGGAGAUGAGGGAGUCGUAGGAGAUGAACUGGAAGGAGUCGGGCUGUAUGGAGGACUAGAGUAGGAUGGAGAAGGGGUCACAGGAGACCCACCGGAGGGAGUACCAGGAGAGUAAGGAGGAGAACUGUAGACUGGAGUGGGAGUCACAGGGGAAGGAUCGGAAGCAACUGGGGGAGAAUACGAUGGAGUGUAGGGAGUAGCCGGUGGAUCAGUGGAGGGAGGAGGAGGGCAGAGAGUCAAACUCGGGAUCAAGCUUCCCAGGCCUGAAGACGUGAGAAGCACCCUCGCCUCCGUGUUGACGAUACAAGCGCAGCAGCUUAGAAGAGCUGCGACGAGAAUCAGC
rnacentral:lncRNA from 1 species